CACAUACAUAUUAAAAUACAAUUUAAAGUACAUAAUAUUACAGAUAGAUACAAUUUCUCAGUAUUUAGGCAUCAGAAUAGUUAGUGCAAGCAUAAUACAAAAUUAGCUUUUGAAUGCACGACUUAACAGUUGGGUAAUUUUACACAUACAUAUUAAAAUACAAUUUAAAGUACAUAAUAUUACAGAUAGAUACAAUUUCUCAGUAUUUAGGCAUCAGAAUAGUUAGUGCAAGCAUAAUACAAAUAUAAUCGAGGAAUUUCUUAAAACGUGAUGAUUUCUUUCAUACAAAUAAAGUGCAUUAUAUAUCUUUUCAAAUAUUCGUCUGUAGUUUUACAAUAUUACAUUAUACAUUGAAAUUAAACAGUUUUUAGCUCGACUAUUCGAAGAAUAAGUAGAGCUAUCCUACUCACCACGGCGUCGGCGUCGGCGUCGGCGUCGGUGUCGGCGUCGGCGUCGGCGUCGGCGUCACACCCUGGUUAAGUUUUUCGUACCAGUCCACAUUUUGACAAAGUCUUUUGAGAUAAAGCUUUGAAACUUUCAACACUUGUUUACCAUCACCAUGUCCAGUUAUAGGCAAGAGUAGAUAACUCUGUCAAGCAUUUUGACUGAAUUAUGGCCCCUUUUGACUUAGAAAUCUUGGUUAAGUUUUUCGUACCAGUUCAUAUUUUGACAAAGUCUUUUGAGAAAAAGCUUUGAAACUUUCAACACUUGUUUACCAUCACCAUGUCCAGUUGUAGGCAAGAGUACAUAACUCCAUCAAGCAUUUUGGUUGAAUUAUGGCCCCUUUUGACUUAGAAAUCUUGGUUAAGUUUUUCGUACCAGUCCACAUUUUGACAAAGUCUUUUGAGAUAAAGCUUUGAAACUUUCAACACUUGUUUACCAUCACAAUGUCCAGUUGUAGGCAAGAGUACAUAACUCCAUCAAGCAUUUUGUCUGAAUUAUGGCCCCUUUUGACUUAGAAAUCUUGGUUAAGUUUUUCGUACCAGUCCACAUUUUGACAAAGUCUUUUGAGAUAAAGCUUUGAAACUUUCAACACUUGUUUACCAUCACAAUGUCCAGUUGUAGGCAAGAGUACAUAACUCCAUCAAGCAUUUUGUCUGAAUUAUGGCCCCUUUUGACUUAGAAAUCUUGGUUAAGUUUUUCGUACCAGUUUAUAUUUUGUGUAAAGUGUUUAACAUAUGGUUUUGAAACUUUUAUAUCUUGUUCAGUAUAAUAGUCUCUAUCAAUAGGCAAGAGUACGUAACUCUCUCGUCUUUUUUGGCUGAAUUAUGGCCCUUUUUGAACUUGGAAAUUGGUUUUGUUUUAUAUAUGUCCAUGUUUUGUCAAGACUAUUUGACAUUUUGGCUUUUAAACUUUAAACACUUGUUUAUCAUUAUGAUUUCCAUCUGUAGGCAAGAGUACAUAACUCUGACAACUAUUUUGACUGAAUUAUGGCCCUUUUUGGACUUUGAAAUUUGUUCAGUUUUUUUUAACAAGUCAGCGUUUUGUCAAAACUAUUUGAACUGUGGCUUUGAAACUUUUAACACUAGUUUUAUCAACAUGAUUUCUAUCUGUAGGCAAGAGUACAUAACUCUGUCAACUAUUUUGAUGAAUUAUGGCCCUUUUUGGACUUGGAAAUUAGUUAAAUUUUUCAUAUAAGUCCAUGUUUUGCCAGACAUAUAACUUAACAUAUUUGCCAUCAUGGUCACACAUUGCCAGUUAGUGCAAGACUAAUCGAAAUCCACAAAUACAGGAACAUUUUUUGUUUAAUCCAUUUUUUUGUUUAGUCUGAAAAACUAUGGAAAUAUUUUGACCCCAUUCUUCAAUCAAUUCUUCGAAUAGUCGAGCGCGCUGUCAUCCGACAGCUCUUGUUCAUUUGCGAAUCACAUCUGUCUAUAUUUUCACGAGUACAUGUAUAUAACAGAAUAUAGAUAUAAUAUGUAUAACUCUAAAGUAUCACGUUUGUCAGAUGAACGUCUGUUUGUUUCGUUUUUCGUUCAUUUUGUGGAAAUUCCGUCUUUCUGAUGCAUCUAUCAGAGCUUGCCAUACAUAUAAAACAUAAGUGGUUCUGAAAUAAGAAAGCAAAAUUACAUAUCUGGUUUUUAAAUACUACAUGUACAUGUUUAUAGAUAUCAACAGCCGUAAAAUCACAUCUUCUAUAGAUACGAUAUAUCUUUUGAAACAUGCUAAUAUUUUAAAAUUAAAUACGCGCACAUGUAUAAAGUACAGAUUAAAGAUCAAGGUAUUUAAAUGCCUUGAACAUGUAUUUUUUUUAUUGCGCUCAUGCUACAAGUGUAUACGCCGAAUCGGAUAUCUAUUUAUUAAAAGUAUAAAUUCUGAGAGACUUGUAUCUAGAGUAUACAUUUUGUAUAGAGUAUACAUUUUAUAAAUACAUUUGUAUGCACCGAAAACAUUUAUUUAUUUAUUUUUUUUUUAUAAAUUUCCUUUCUUUCUUUUAAAUAUUCAAAUGAAAUAAACAAUAAAUGAUACAAAUUUUAAACAAAUCUGCCUCCAACAUCAGCCAGUUCCCUGCAGAGUAGAAACAUCAGUUGUCGGUCAUGUGGCACCAAGUCUGCUGUUUCGCGUUGUUCACAUCGGCGUCCCAUAGUUCCGUAAUAAUUCUCUGUUGUUGUUGGAUUCUAUAUGCACACAUCUCGUUGCGGAGUAGCGGAGCAGGCCGUGGGAUCCUGAAUUUGCUAAUUACUAAAACUGCCUAAAAUACUUCCAGUUAGUUUUAAUAUGUUAAUUCUUUACAGUUUUCAGCUAGGGCAAAAUAUAGUCUUCAUAUCAUCUUGGUAAAAUAGUCUUCAUAAUCAAUUUAUUUGCAACUGUGUCGGGUAUUUUCAAUAAGAAUUGCAUGGGGAAAAAAGUAUAAUACUCUGACGAGAAUCUGACAUCGUGUAAAUAUAUCUGCUGCUAAAAUGUUUCUUGUUUGUCUUGUUUCUUUGUUGUUUUCUACACAGAAUUUCAGAUUAUUUCCUUUUUCAUUUUAACAUUAUUCAUAAAUUCUGUCUUAACAAAGUUUCUUUAAUUGUAGAUGGAGAAAAAGAUUGAUAUAUCAUUAUAGCUCGAGGUUAUUUUUCGUUGAUUGUUGUAUUAUUCAUGAUUUUAUCUUUGUCACUUUAGCGUUCCACCAGGAAGUUGCUGAUAUAGUUGACUGAUAAUAAGUCCUUGAGGGCUGUUAUUGUUACGCAGUCACUCAUUGGUCAAUAUCGUGCGUUCAACCGUGAAUUUGUCAGUUCCCUUUUGCAUAUGUGGUAGAAGCUGUUAGCUAACUGGCAUUGUCUUCUUGCUUGUAUUGUGUGCAGACGUGUUUUAGAAAUUUUGCUUGAAAUUUAUUUAAAGUUCCACCGUAAUACGAGCACUCAGAUAUAAUAAAAGGAUAUAACAAUGGACAGGAGGAAUGAUUACACGUACUCAAUCAUGUACUUGAACAACUGUAUUGUCAAGCUGGUUCUUAAUAAGGACCUCCCUAAAGGCAGAACUCGUAAAUUCUGACCCUCGGUCAUGAAUUAUCUGGAGAGGACAUCCAUAUCUAGGAUAUAUCUCGUUCAAAAAUUCUGGUGGUCGUGAAAAGAAAUCAGCAAUAACAUUUGCCUUUCCAGGAAGAUACUCUAUCUUACAGUUGUAACCACUAAUAGACAAUGCCCAUAACUGAAUUUUCUUGUUUUGCAUUUCACUUUUUAAUAAAUACUGCAGUGGAGAAUGGUCGCAUUUGAUUGUAAAUUCAGCAUUGUGUAAAAAGUAAUUUAAACGUUGCAAAGAAUAAAAAAUGGCAUAUGCCUCUUUCUCAAUA